rnacentral:rRNA from 1 species
GGCGAACGCUGGCGGCAGGCCUAACACAUGCAAGUCGAGCGCGCCCUUCGGGGUGAGCGGCGGACGGGUGAGUAACGCGUGGGAACGUGCCCUUUUCUACGGAAUAGCCUCGGGAAACUGAGAGUAAUACCGUAUACGCCCUUUGGGGGAAAGAUUUAUCGGAAAAGGAUCGGCCCGCGUUGGAUUAGGUAGUUGGUGGGGUAAUGGCCUACCAAGCCGACGAUCCAUAGCUGGUUUGAGAGGAUGAUCAGCCACACUGGGACUGAGACACGGCCCAGACUCCUACGGGAGGCAGCAGUGGGGAAUCUUAGACAAUGGGGGCAACCCUGAUCUAGCCAUGCCGCGUGAGUGAUGAAGGCCUUAGGGUUGUAAAGCUCUUUCAGCUGGGAAGAUAAUGACGGUACCAGCAGAAGAAGCCCCGGCUAACUCCGUG